AGGCAAGGGGUACUGAAGAGUUGUGACUUUCUUGGUUGAUUUGAUCUGGAAGAAAGAUGAGUUUCUGGAGACCAGGGUGAAAUCCAAAUAAACAAUUAGAUCCCUGCAGAUUGUUCAGGUUCAUUGCAUUGACACUAAUGGAGAAACUUCUUCUUUGGAGGACUUCUCAUUGGGACUUCUGGCUUGGAGAGAUCCCUGCCUUGGUGGCUCUGCUAGGAGACCCUCCCUAGUGCUUUGGUGGGAUACUCCUUUCAGUGUGAGUUCUGUGGAAAGACUCUUUUCCUUGGAUCCUUCAUUAGCUUGCUGGUAAGUAACUUGGACUUCCAUGUGGAGACUGGAACUUUGUCAGGAAGCAAGCUGAAUUUCAUCAGAUCAGCACUUA
rnacentral:lncRNA from 1 species